ensembl:misc_RNA Metazoa_SRP Metazoan signal recognition particle RNA
GCUGGGCGUGGUGGCUCACGCCUGUAAUCCCAGCACUUUGGGAGGCUGAGGUGGGCGGAUCACCUGAGGUCAGGAGUUCGAGAGCAGCCUGACCAACAUGGUGAAACCCCGUCUCUA